UUUUCCCUUUGAUUUGUUGUUGGCUGCGAAUAAAAUUCUCCAAAUCAAAAAAUACACAACAAAUAAACAAAAAAGUAGACAAUACGAAUCGUAACAAAUAGAACUAAAUUCGUAACAAAAAUCCACUGUUUCGAACCUCUAGUCCCAUUCUUCGUCUUCCCCACAUUUUAUAUGAAAAUAUAUUAUCACAUCUCCCUGAUAAUAUAUUCUACAACUGUAAACUUACAAUUCGUAACCAAAUAAUAGUGAUUUAAACUUAUACAAAUCUGUUCAUCUACACUCAUCUACGCAUCCCAUGAACUCAUUUAUUCAAGUAAAUCCAAAUUCGCACCGUACGUAUGAUUAAGAUAAACAUGCGCACAUAAAUCCAAAAUGAAAAAUAAUCGA
rnacentral:lncRNA from 1 species